rnacentral:rRNA from 1 species
CCUACGGGUGGCAGCAGUGGGGGAUAUUGCACAAUGGGGGGAACCCUGAUGCAGCGACGCCGCGUGGGGGAAGAAGCGCCUCGGCGCGUAAAGCCCUGUCAGCAGGGAAGAAAAUGACGGUACCUGAAGAAGAAGCACCGGCUAACUACGUGCCAGCAGCCGCGGUAAUACGGAGGGGGCAAGCGUUACCCGGAUUUACUGGGGGUAAAGGGGGCGCAGACGGCGAUGCAAGCCAGGAGUGAAAGCCCGGGGCUCAACCCCGGGACUGCGUUUGGAACUGCGUGGCUGGAGUUUAGGAGGGGCAGGCGGAAUUCUUGGUGUAGCGGUGAAAUGCGUAGAGAUCAGGAGGAACACUGGUGGCGAAGGCGGCCUGCUGGACCGCAACUGACGUUGAGGCCCGAAAGCGUGGGGAGCAAACAGGAUUAGAUACCCGGGUAGUC